rnacentral:rRNA from 1 species
UACGAAGGGUCCAAGCGUUGUUCGGAUUAUCGUGCGUAAAGGGUGCGUAGGUGGCAUGGUUAGUCGGGUGUGAAAUCCCGGGGCUCAACCCCGGAACUGCACUCGAUACUGCCGUGCUCGAGUACUGGAGAGGAGACUGGAAUUUACGGUGUAGCAGUGAAAUGCGUAGAUAUCGUAAGGAAGACCGGUGGCGAAAGCUAGUCUCUGGACAGUCACUGACACUGAGGCACGAAGGCCAGGGGGAGCAAACGGG